CAGCAGCCGCGGUAAUACGUAGGGUGCGAGCGUUAAUCGGAAUUACUGGGCGUAAAGCGUGCGCAGGCGGUGCUGCAAGACCGAUGUGAAAGCCCCGGGCUUAACCUGGGAACUGCAUUGGUGACUGCAGCGCUGGAGUAUGGCAGAGGGGGGUGGAAUUCCACGUGUAGCAGUGAAAUGCGUAGAGAUGUGGAUGAACACCGAUGGCGAAGGCAGCCCCCUGGGCCAAUACUGACGCUCAUGCACGAAAGCGUGGGGAGCAAACAGGAUUAGAUACCCCAGUAGUCCCUGUCUCUUAUAC
rnacentral:rRNA from 1 species